UCUCAUCUCCCAUUCUCAGAGACCAAAAUCCCUAACCCUAAUCCGCCGCCCUUUUUUCCAUCGCAUCCGCCCAGCGGCACCACCUCCAAUCACCCUCAUCUUAACACCCUGGAACCCCCUCACCUCCCUCUUCCCAAAUCUCUGACUACUUUCCCUCGAAUCCCACCACAAACGCUCGAAUGUCAAAUCUAAAUCCAAGAUCUAAAAAAUCCUAAAACCCACAAAUCUACCCGAGUUCACCCCAAAUGACCCUUCACCUAUUUCCCGCCCCAAAACACGUUCUUGCUUCCCGUCAAUUUAGCUCGUCAGUGGUGGAGCAGAAGUCUGAAAUGCCCUAGGUCUUGCCUUGUGUUUUUUUCCUGGUCCAGCAGGGUUGAGUGACCCCAAACCGUCAUUAACCGUUUGUCUUUUGUUAAGGACAAUCGAUUAACAUCUGUCAAAGGUUCACUUUCUUCUUCAAAAGUUUUAUUCGAGUGCAUGCGGGUUCUUGCUGAGGCAGGUUUUAGAUAAUUUCUUUAUGUCGAUUACUUUCCGUUUGAUCUUCUCUUUUGUUUGUUUGUUUGUUUUCCCGUUUAUCUCUUCAGAAGUUUCGUUUCUUGUUUAAUUGCAUUACGUCUCUGGUUUUUAGGUUCAUUAGUUAACUUGUCUGCUAAACUAUUAAUGACAAUCAGCUUCAUAGGGUUUGAGCAUAAUUUGUUUUCAAUUCAUGGGAUUUUCUUCUGUCUGCUAGGUUUCAUUUUUAUGUUCGAGAAUUAAUUCUGGAACUGAAGCAUUGAGAUUAGCCAAGUAUAGGUCAUCAUUUGCAUUAAUUCCUGUUUCAAGAGCAUUUUUUAGUCCAUGUUUAUAUGUGAAGGAUCUUAGAUUUAAUUCAGACUAAUCUUUCAUGGUUUAAUAUGAUUCAACAAUUGUUUUGAAUUUCACUGAUUUUCAAUCCAGCUGAAAGUGUCAGCUCGUUUGCUUAUUGUUUAUUGUGAUUGUGAGCAUUCAGAACUUAGGAGGGGGUAAGUGUAUAACUAGGAAAACUUUAGGGGUAGUUUUGGGGAUUGGGUUAACUUGAAGAAUCUUUUAAUAACUGAUUGUGAAGCUUCCUAAAUGGACAACUGCCCAAAAUUACUAGGGAAAACAGGCUGCAAAUUAAAAAUAUCUGAAGGAAAUGGACAGCUGUCCAAAAAUCAAUUUUAAAAGAUGCCCGGUGAGGGUAUUUUGGAAAAAUCUGAUUGCCUUGCCUUGGAAGGCACACAACAGACCCCUAUCCUUAUAAAUGGAGCCUUCUUUUCACUCAAUACACAGUUUUUUGGGCUCCCUAGAGAGACUAAAAAGAUAAGAAGAAAUACUAAAUUUCAGAAUCAAUUAAUUUCCUUCUGAAAAUUCCGAGAAACUGCUGAAAAUUGUUUGGACUAUUUUUGAUUUCUUGGUUUUGGUUCUCUGAAUCUUCUGUUAAUCUAGAAUUUCUGGAAAAAAAACUUCCAGAUUGUGCAUCUGGUUAGAGAUGUGGCUUAAGCUUUGGUUUGGAGUUGGUUUUGGAUUGCCUCUACGAUUCAAUUGAUUUUUCCUGAGCUGAUUUCACUGUUUUAUUGACUGAAUCUGGGCUGAUUUCUGCUACUGCUUGCUGUUGAUCCUUCACUUCUUUUGGUUUUUCCCUUGUUCAUUACCAGGUAUUUCCUUCAAACCAGGGAUAGAAAUGAAGUUUGUUAUGGCUGUUAUGUUGAAGUCGUGUAAUUCAAGUUGAAGAAACUGAUUGUUGCUCAUUCUCUGUUGCAUUACCAGCUUAAAAAUCUAUUAUAUUUUGUUUUCAUGUUCCUCCUAGAUUCAUAUGAGUUAUUUAAUUUCUUGUCAUUGCCUUUUAGGUUCUGUUACAGUGUUGUAUAAAUUUUCCUUUUCACUUGCUUAGUUUAAAUGCUAGAAGGUUUAUAAUCACAUGUAUAAGUGGUAGAGAACUAAUGCAAGGAGAUUUCAGUAGCAUCAAAUAUGUUUCAGGUCUGAUCUGGCCUGUUGAAGCCAGUGUUGUUCUGCAAAUGUGCCUAAAUUUGUUUUGAGAUUGAUGUCCCUAAAGUUUGAAAUCAGGAACUUUCAUGUUGAGGUUUGCACUAGGUGAUGAAUUUUAUAUGGUCUGCCUUAUCUUUGAUGAAAUCAGCUGUUUAAUAUAGAUUGAAAUUUGAUAACAGGGGCAUGAAUGUAAGAUGGUUUUUAAAAGCAUUUAAUGUUUCAUGCAUGUCAAGCUGUUUGACAUUGAUGAUUAGGCUCUUUUGGCAUAUCUUUUUAACUUGUAUGUCAGUUUGUUUUCAUUUAGGCUCGAUUCUGGGUCUUCUGCCCUCAACUUGCAUAUUUGUAAAGGUUGGGUCUCUUCUGGGCCUGAACGUCGAAGUUAUUGUGAGACGAAAGGGGGUUUGUUGCCUUGGGCAGUCCCGUGAUUCUCUGCUCAAGGUGGAGAUCUUCAGUAAAUUAUUGGGUCUGCUGCCAGGCCCAUGUUUUUCUUUUUUGAAUAAAUAAUGGAUCAGAUCUUUUCUCUUACUGGACCUUUGAAUAACAAUUUGAGUUCAAACUUUAGUUUAUAAGUAGCAUCAAUUUCAUUGAGCCUUUCCUUAAUUAAUUAGUUGGUCUCCUAAAAAAUAGAUUUGAGUUGAGCCAUUUUGAAUAAUGGAAAUAGUUGAUGGCCCUCAAAAGCUUAAUUUCGAAUUUCCUUUAAGAAUGGGGCAAUCGAGGCGUGCCAUUUAGUUGAAUUUUUCAUGGCCCUCGCAAAUUUAAAUUGCGUAGUUGCUUUAGGCACGCUAUUUUAAAAAUUACCUUCUUAAACUCGGGUGUGCAUUUAUGUAAUCCAAAUCCAAAUCUCGACAACGUUAGAUAAAAUGUGUCGUGGAUCGCGGGUGCAUUUAUGUGACGUGUUUCAAGACAUAUUUUAAAUGACGUUGCAAAAAUGAUUUAAAAUGAUUAAAAAUGGUUAAUAGUUUAAAAUUGCACAAUAGGUUAAAACAUGUAUUAAAAUCAGAUAAUAGGCCAAUUAUAACUGUUGAGCGACCGUGCUAGAACCACGGAAUUCAGGAAUGCCUAACACCUUCUCCCGGGUUAACAUAAUUCCUUACCCAGAUUUCUGUGUUCGCGGACUGUAAUACAGAGUCAAUCUUUUCCUCGAUUUGGGAUUUAAACUGGUGACUUGGGACACCAUAAAUUAUCCCGAGUGGCGACUCUGAUUCUUAAACAAAUAAAUCCCAUUUCGAUUAUCACUAUAAGUUGGAAAAACUCCCUUAUACCCUUCCGGGGGUGUAGGUAAAAAGGAGGUGUGAUAUUGUAUAGAUUUUUGUAUUUCAUCACCUUAUUUGCUACCUCGUCCAUGAUAUUUCCUUUUCGUCUUGUAUUUAAUUUUGCUAAUCACACUUAAAAAUAUGGACGGUGAUUUUUGCAUGUGAUUCUUCAAUAGAAAGAACCCUAUUAUUUGAUUUUUAAAUUUUUGUUGGCUAGUUUUGGUAAGUCUAUGACUAAUGGCUAGAGAUUGGUAAGUUGAGAUUUAUUUGAGACAUUUGUGUAAGUUUCCCAAUAAAUAAUAUCCUAAAUAAAAUGUCUUAUUUUAUUAUGGAAGAGCUAAAUUUCGUUGCAAUCAAUAUAUUAGAAAAUUUUAAUGCAAAAGUUUGCGUCUUGUUGUAUCUUCGUACAAUUUUUGAACUCACAACUAUAAUUUGUUAGGACAUAAUCCACUCCUUAACAAAGUCAAUUGACUUGAGGCAAACCAAGUUGGACAUGCCACUUAACGCUCUGUUUGGAUCAUUGUUUCCCAUCAUUUUAUAAUGUAUUGUACUGUAUUGUAUUAUAUCGUUUCGAUGGAUAUAACGUUUGGAUAGACUGUAUCGUUUGUUGUUGUUAAAUAACAUCUUUAUUAAUUGGUUUGAUUGUAUUGUACUAUACUGUACUGCUAAGUUUACUAAAAUACCCUCAAUUAUUUUAAAUACAAUGCUUAUUAAGAAUUACUCAUAAAAAUAAUUUAUUCAUUUGACCUCUGUAUCUUCCUCAUAGGGAAUCAUCAUUCUACUAUAAUAGCAAAAGCCCCAAAUCGAUUUCACACAAACAAACAAAAAAUUCACAACCCCAUCAAAACAGUAUAGACAACUGACCUUGAGUUCCUCACCUUUAAUGUUGCAAAUAAUCCAUAACUUAAAGUGUAUAAUAUAAUAAAAAUUUCUAGCAAUAUGACAUAUAAAAUUCAUAUCGAUCUAGUCAAAUUCUAUAAAAUCCUCAAUAGCUAAAGCACAAAAAAUAUUUAGUCUAACUCAAUUGUCAGGUGACGACAUCAAGGUCAGUAAAACAAAUUGCGGUCUUCCAAUAGACACCCAAUCAGUGUGUGACACAAGUCUGCAUUUUUGCAAAGAAAUAUAUAAGCCGUCAUGUGCAUACUAGGAUCUAAAUCCAACACUUGUACCAUUUACCAUAUCUCACUCUCAGGAAUAGGUGGCAUAGUUGAAAGGCGAUUAAUUGCAUUAGCCAAAUUAUUCAUCCCACCUCUCAACAUAUCAUUCAUGCCUUUAAGAUGAUCAUGUUUAGAUUUUUUAUUCCUGCUAGAAGUCGGUACCUCUAAAUAUGCAUUUGAUUUACGUGCUUCCUGAGUUGAUUGAUAUUGCUCAUGUUGUCCAUGUUCCUCGAUAUUUUCCAAAAAGGCAGCAUUCAUGAAAAUUAGUUCAUCUAACUCAUCAAUAGUCAAUGAGCUAUCAAUUGAUUUUCUCAAAUUAUUACGAGCACCCCUUUUUACCAUAUCUGCUCCAGUCUCAGCUUGCUUUUCAGUAGCUCUAUCCCUUCCAUAUAGCUCAAUUAGCUUAUCAUAAUUUCUAAUCGGCUUGUUUCUCCAUUCAGCAGCUUCAGGCUUAACCUACAAAAAAAAGUACAAUAUAAUAAUGCAGAAAAUGAGAUAAACAUUAUAAGAUGCAAAUAAAGAACAAAACUACUAAAAAUAAAUGUACAUGUAUUAAUUGAUCCCAUACUUCAGAUUCAGCAUUCCACAUAUUUGUGUUGGAAUACCAUGCAAACCCGUUCAUCCUAUUUGGAAAGGUAUCAUAACAUUUGCUAAAUUUUGUUUUAAUAUUUCUCAUUCGGUUGUGAACUCUCUCCUUGGUAAGAACUUUACCUGGAAAUUUUGAUUGCAUCUCUUUCACUAUAUUGUCAAUCGCGUAUGCAAUAAAAGUUUUACCAACCCUGUUUCCAAGUGUGUGCUCAUGAUAGAAUGCAUCAAUUAAGGCAUCAUCCAUAACAUUUGAUCAAAUACAAACAGAAGUGUUAUCUGAAAGAUUUGUAUCGCUUGAGGAUGCCUUUGAAAUAUUGAUAACUAUAUAAUUAAGAGAUAUUCAUAAGACUUAAUGAAAACUUUAUCAGACAUAAUAUUUGUAAGAGUUAUAAAAUAAAAUAAAUGCAUAGUACAUAAUAUAUUUUAUUCAAAUAAUAGCCGAAAUUACUUUCAAACAACAUCAAAUAAAUAAACACAAAAAAAUUCAUUGACUUUUUCUCUCCUAGAAGAUUAAACUUGAUAAUUAGCCCACAUGUCAGCUGUCAUGCCAUCUCUAAUCAACUCCCCCCUUCUAAACUCCUCAUUGCUUUCCCUAGGAUUUGGUGGUUCUUCAUGCACAUCAUUAUCAUUCAUAAGCUCCGCAUCAACUUGUGCAAGUAACUCAUCAUUUGGAUCUGCAACUCUUAAGUAGUUGUGCAAAAUACAACAUGCAAAAAUAAUAAGCUUUUGGGUUUCAACACCAUAUGACGGUUCAGUUAAACUGGAAAUUAUAGGAAAUCUCUUUUUAAGAACUCCAAAAGCUCGUUUAAUAGCAUUACGCAAAGAUGCGUGUCGCAGAUUAAAUAAUUCACGAGGACCUCGAGAUGAAUUUCUUGAAUACUCUUUCAAGUAAUAUCGCUCCCCACGAUAAGGCAUAAUAAGUCCACUUCUCAACAUCAAUGCAUCAACAAGGUAGUAUUUUCCUAAAGAUAAAAAGUAAAAGCUUUAAUUAUUUAUUCAUCACAUCUAACUUUCCCUAGAUAAAUAUAUGAAAUAUUUGCCUUUUGAAAGUUUUAGCGGGUCUUGUCUAUUUAACACUUCUUUCAUGAUUCUUGAAUCAGAUGUCGUCCCUUCCCAACCAGCUAACACAUAUGUGAAUUUUUAAUCAAAUGUACAUGCAGCCAAUACAUUUUGUGUUGGAUAAUCUUUUCUUCCACGAUAUCUGGGUGCUUCACGUUUUGAAACUUUAACACGUAUAUGUGUGCCAUCAAUUGCAUCAAUACAAUCCUGAUAUUAUUAUAAUAAAUUAUAUGCAAUCAACCUUGAAUUUAACUAAAAGUUCAAUAAAAUUGUAUUUGUGUUCACCUUAAAAUAUGGGUAGAAUCUUGGGCUGCUGGCAAUUUCAGAAGGAACUUGAGAGCCAUCAGGUUGUUUAAUAAAUUUUUCAUAUAACCCCAAGAUCACUCGCACAGGACAAUAUGAAAAUGACGACUAACCGACUCCCCAGAUCGUCGAAAGAUAAAAGCUAACUCGCGAUUCGUCGUAUUAUGUGCUAACAGGUAAAGUAUUUUUGCAACUUGGUCUUCAACUGUAGCUUGAAAUGUUGGUCUAAGAUCACCCUCUCUAACUAAUAUCUCACAUAGAUCGGUAAAAGCUAAAGGGGUCAUUCUUAUAAUAUUACGACAAAGUUCAGUUGAGAAUAAAUGACUCAAUAAUUCAUGUCUAACUUGUUCACUUUCCAGUCGUAUAUCAUGUGUGAUCGUACGUUGGUCAUUUUCAAUUUCACGUACAUAAGUCCAAAACCAAAUAGCUACUAAGCAAGCAGCAUAUGUAGCUAAAGAGCUCACUUGUUCCAAUAUCUGUCUAUUAUUUUGAUUAUUCCGAUCAACCAUCUAUAAUAAAAUUAAGUGAGAUGCAUCAACCAAUUGACCACGUAAAAUAAAUAUGAACCGAAAAUAAACUCUUCUUCAUAGAACACAUUAUAAAGUAUGAAUAUAAAGUAUGAAGGAGAAUUCAGAUAUAUACUAAAAGGAUUGUAUAAAAAAGAGAAUUCGAGUCAAAUAUUUCAUCACAUUACACUAAAUUAAUUAAGUAAACAGGAAAAUAUAUAAGCAAAUUUAUUUGUUACAACAGAAGCCACACAUAAUUCAUGUUUUAUAUUUUUUGUCGGUUUUGACUGUAUCAAACUAAUAACUUGGUGCUACACUUUAAACCAUGAUAUUAACUUGAUAAAUUAUAUCGCCAAAACAUAUAGUUUGCAAAUAUCAUAGAUAAACUAACCAGAAAAAAUACACAAGAAAAGAGAAGGAAAACUAACGUAUUAUUUGAGAAAAAGUGUUAUUAAUAAGUUAUGGAGAAGACAAGGUAUGAAUCUUGAUUAAGCACAAAAAAUUGAAUAGAUAUUUAGAAAAACAAAUUUUCCACCAAAUAUCACUACAUAAAUUAUUUUAGAUUUUUGGGAUGCAAGCAAAGAUAAUGCUGUAGAUAUUAUUGCCAUGUAUAUAAAUGAUACCUUUUUCAGCCAGUUUUUUCUAGGCACUUAUUAUUUAGAGAAAAAUUCCCUUAGCAACAGUGGAAUUAGUUAAGAAAGGAGAUGAAACUUAACCUGUAAAAACUUUGUUGGAAAGAGACAAAGACUAGGGAAGUACGUUGUUGACUAGUUGCACGGUAGAAAGAAGAUGGAGACAAAGUACUUAUUAGUUUGGUGAAUAUAAUAUAAAUAAUUGGGUAAAGGGUAAAAUUAAAAUAUAGAAUAAUAAGUGUGUGCAUAAUUGUUAAGGAAAAUAUGGAACAAUCCCACCACAUUGAUUUGGUUGUUUCAUAAAAAGGGAUUUUUCUUUGUUCCGGAACAAUGAAUUUAAUAAUACAAUACAAUCAGUUUUAUACUAACAAUCAAAACAAAUAUUAUAUCUGGGGUAACAAUACAAUACAAUACAACCAGAAACAACCAUGCAAACAAUACGUAAGACUUAAGAGGGCAUUUUUAUACAUACUUACUUUUGGGCCGUUAUUGAAGUUAUACCUGUAUUGUAUAAAAAAUUGUCAAAAUUUACCUAUCGGAAUUUGAAAUAGUUCUAUCUUUCAAUACAACUUCAGAAAUUAAAUUUUAAGUUCUUCUAUCUUUCAAAUGUAGUUUCACAAAAUUUGAAUCUUAAGUAAUUCAUCCCUUCAAUGCAACUUCAAAAAUCAAAUCUUAAGUUCUUCUAUCUUUCAAAUACAAUUUCAGAAAAAUUGAAUUUUAAGUAGCUCUGUAUCAUCAACGCAACUUAGGAAAUCGAAUCUUAAAUUCUAAAACAUAAACUUAUUUUUCGAAUUUCAAUAAUCCAACACACGGUCCAAUGCCAAAUCUAUUCUAAAUAAGCUCAAUUUUGAAACAUAAUUUCAAUUAUCAUAAAGAAUAAACACAAUCAUUAAUUUGUCAAAAUAAUAAUAAAUCUAACAAACCCAUUUUGCAACUAAUUAUAAUAAUAAUAAGAAGAAAGGCUCCUGGAUACACGAGACAUGAAUACAGAGAAGAAAAAAACAACAUCGAAACUCCUGGAUAUAUGUGAUAUGAAUAUAAUGAAGAAGAAAGUAGCAGGAAAGAAGAAGAGAAAAGCAUAACUAUACGAAGUUACCUAAAAAUUAAGUAUUAGUUAAACUUUUUUUAAAAGGUGGUUACACAUUAAAUUUGGGUGACCAAAUAAGGCAUCCCGUGAAAUUUUUACCAUUUAAGAGGAACGAAAUAUCCUUUUAUAAUUCAUAUUUAGUAUUUUCAAUCACUAUCUCUGUUGAAUCCCAUAUGGAAGAAAAAGAUGGCCUUUUUACAUGAUCUUGAACAAUCAUCAUUUCCUAAACUAUUUUUUGGUGUUGUGUUAAAUCCAAUUUCUUAUCACAAAUAAUACAAAAUCAUACAGAAACUAGAUAACCGAGAUUCAAGUGGAUAGUUUUUCUUGAAUUGAAUAACAUUUGGAAGGUUAGGCUGAAACUGUGACGACCCGACCAGUCAUCUCAUGAGUUACCGCUCCGUUUCUCCCAUUUCUGAUUUUUUAUGCUUCAUUAUCCAUGUUUUGUGGUAUCAGAUUGGUCGGAUCGAGUCCGGAAUGAUUUUGAUAAGGUUUGAGACACUUAGUCUCUUUUAAGAAGGUUUAAGUUGGAAAAGUUAAUCAGAUGUUGACUUAUGAGUUAGAGGGAUCGAAUAUGAGUUUUGAUGAUUUGGUUAGCUUCGGGAGGUGACUUAUGACUUAGGAGCGUGAUCGGAAUUGGUUUUGGAGGUGUAGAGAAGAUUUAGGCUUGAAUUGGCGAAGUCGAUAUUUUGGCGAUUUCUGGUUGGUAGGCAAGAUUUUUGAUAUAAGGGUCGAAAUGGAAUUCCGAGAGUUGUAGUAGCUUUAUUGUGUCAUUUUGGACGUGUGUGCAAAAUUUCAGGUCAUUCGGACGUGGUUUGGUUGAGUUUUUGAUCAAAAGCGUAUUUCGGAAGAUUUUAGAAACUUAGGCUUGAGGUGUUUUGGUUGAUUUGGUGUUGUUUGAGGUGUUUUGAUGGUUGGAACAAGUUUGAAUAAGGUAUUGGGUCAUGUUGGUAUUUUUGGUUGAGGUCCCGGGACCUCGGGAUAAUUUCGGGUGGUUAACGGGGAAAUUGGAGAUUUGUUGCAGCAGCUGAUAUUGCUGCUUCUGGUGUUUUUGUACCUGCGGUUUGGGGACCGCAGGUGCGGCACCGCACGUUCGGAAGGGAAGGCGCAUAUGUGUAUUGGAGAAGUGGAUUCAUGAAUCGCAGAUGCGGUAUGGGGACCGCACCUGUGGAGUCGCAGAUGCGACGUCUGGACCGCAGAUGUGGUAUGUGGCCGUUAAGUGAGUUCCGCAGAAGCGGAGGUGUUGACCACGUAUCAAGCCGCAGGUGCGACACCGCACGUUCGGAAGGGAAGGCGCAUAUGUGUAUUGGAGAAGUGGAUUCAUGAACUGCAGAUGCGGUAUGGGGACCGCACCUGUGGAGUUGCAGAUGCGACGUCUGGACCGCAGAUAUGGUAUGUGGCCGUUAAGUGAGUUCCGCAGAAGCGGAGGUGUUGACCACGUAUGCGGUACCGCAGAAGCGGAUUUUGGACCGCAUAUGCGGGUAUGCCUGGGCAGAACAUAUAAGUUAUUUCAUUUCGCGAAAUUGGGUUAUUUCACCAUUUUUGGACCUCGACUUGGGAACUUUUGGACAAUCUGGAAGGGAGAUUUCAAGGGAACUUCGUUAAGGUAAGGAUUUUGGAACUAAAACAUACUUCUAUGGUAAUAUUUUGUGGAGACUGAAAUUUAAGGAAUUGAAGGACUACAAAUAGAGGAUUAGGGCUUGAGUUUAAGAGGGCUUAGAAUGAGAAUUUGAGGGGUCGUUUGAACUCCGAUUUUUGUAUUCUUGAUAUGAAUGAACUCGUGGGGAGAUGAGGAAUCUAUUGAUGUGAAAAUUUCUGAGAUUCGAGAAUUGGGCCUAGGGCUCGAGGUUAGCUCAUUUCGGGAUUUUUAAUAUUUUCGAUUGGUUUCGCUUGAACUUUGUUCCCUAAGCAUAUUAUGACAUAUUCGUUCUGAUUUUGGAUAGAUUCGACGCGCGUGGAGGCCGAUUCGAGGGGCAAAGGCAUUGCGAGCUAGAGAUUUAGCCAGUUCAAGGUGAGUAAUGAUUGUAAAUGAUGCUCUGAGGGUUUGAAACCCUAGAUUGCACAUCGUAGUGCUAUAUUGAGGUGAGACACAUGCUUGAUGACGAGCGUGGGGUCAUGCACUAUUGGGGAUUAUGACUGGUCCGUCUCGAUUGAUGAUUUUACCGCGUAUUUGAUUGAAACUUAUUUGCUAUCAUCAUGAUUUGGGCUGAUUUCCAUAUUUGGGCUUCGUGCCAACUAUUUGAACCCUUUGGGGAUUUUAAUUACUAUUUCCUCAUUGUUCUGAUUUAUUACUUGAACUCAGUCAUGUUAUUUUCCACUGUCUUACUACUCAGCCAUUUUACUCAGUUUUGAGACUUAAAUGAUAUUUUAAAUGAUGUUUUGGGAUGAGAAAUACUGUUUUACUAAUGCCCGAGGGGCUUGUGUUGAUUUUCGGAUUGAGUAAGGCCGAGGGCCUAGUUGUGAGGAUACACUGGUACUGAUAUGAAGCCGAGGGCCUGAGAUACAUUAUACGCCAUGAGGUGGCUUGAUUGAUAUGAGGCCGAUGACCUAGAUUUGAUGCCACGAGAUGGAUUGAUAUUGCGAUUGGGCCGUAAGGGGCCCCUCCCGGAGUCUGUACACCCCUAGUGAGCGCGAGUACCCAUUGUGAUGUGAGAUUGAGCCCGAGGGGCUAGUAUUGUUCUGAGAUUGAGCCCGAGGGGCUGGUAUUGUUCUGAUAUAUUGCCGAGGGGCGGAUUUGCUGACACUAUGCCCGAGGGACGAACUUUUAUUUGUUUACUUUAUCUUAAAUAUCUGUCAAUUACCUGUUUUACUGGUUAAAAUAGGAUUUUACUUGAUUUUUACUGGUUUUACUGAUUUUAAGUGAUUUACUGCUUUAUUAUAUACUGCUUUGUGUUUUACGUGAUUUCUUACUUUCAGUCGUUAUUUACAUUUGUUACUCACUGAGUUGGAGUACUCACUUUACUCCCUGCAGUCUGCGUGAAGAUUUAGGCGUUGCUGGUUCCGCUCCUGAGUGUUGAUUCCUCCAGUUCCAAGUGGUUUUCCGGAGACUACGAGGUAGUUGUUGGCAUCCGCAGCCCCGUGUCUCUACUUCUCUUUCAUUUCCGUUUCCUUUCAAACAUUUGUAGUAGUUUAUGACUUUUGCAGACUAGUAUUGUGGUUUAGAGAUGCUCGUGACUUAUGACACCCUGGUUAGGGCUGUGUCGGGUUGGAUUUUCCGCAAUGUUAUCGUUAUUUCCGCUAUUCAGUAUUAUUAAUCAUGUUUAGACUAUUUUUUUGUGUUGUUUAACUGUUAAAAAAAUGAGAAUUUGGUUCAAUUGGCUGGCCUUGUCUUCACGAGAGGCGCAAUCACGACCGAGUUCAAGGUUAGGGUCGUGACAAGUUGGUAUCAGAGCCUAGGUUACAUAGGUUCACGAGUCAUGAGCAGGUUUAGUAGAGUCUCGUGGAUCGGUACAGAGAUGUCUGUAUUUAUCCUCGAGAGGCUGCAGAACCUUUAGGAAAAACUUCAUAUUCUUAAAAUUCUUGUCGUGCGAACUUGUUGAUCCGAGUACUAAACUUCUGUUAUUCUUUUCUCUCACAGAUGGUGAGGACGCGCGCUACCGGAUGGGGUGGACGACCCCUAGUGCCACCAGUUGAGACCACCAAAGGCCGAGGAUGCGAUCGUGGCAGAGGCAGAGCAGCGAAUGCAGCACAUGUUGAUCCACCAUCUGCCCUAACUCAGGAUCAGGCUCUAGCUAUGGAUGCUCCAGCAGCACCAAUUCAGGCACCAGCUGUGCCCAUCGUGAUUUCGGGUCUUCAGAAGGCGUUGACACAGAUCUUGUAGGUUUGUACUGGCCUGACUCAGGCGGUUUCAGCCACUAUCGCCGCAACUACUUCACAGGCCGGGGGAGACAAUCAGACUCUCGCCGUUCGCACACCUGAGUAGGUUGUGCAGGGACUUCAGAUGCUGGGGGCACCCCCAGCCCAGCCGGUUGCACCAGCUCAGGAGUUUGUGGUACCCGUUAUGUCGGAUGAUAAGCAACAUCGACUUGAGAGGUUUGGUAGACUUUAGCCUCCGACAUUCAGUGGUGCAGAGGGCGAGAAUGCCCAAGGAUUCUUGGAUAAGUGCCAGUGGAUGCUUCUUACAACAGGGAUUAUUGAGAUUAGUGGUGUGGCAUUUACUACCUUUCAGUUUUUUGGGGUUGCCUUCACUUAGUGGGAGGCGUAUGAGAGGGGUAGGCCUGUUGGUGCAGCACCCCUUACUUGGCAGUAGUUCUCCGUUCUUUUCCUGGGGAAGUAUGUGCCGCAAUCCCGUAGAGAGGAGAUGCGUAGACAAUUUGAGUGGUUACGACAGGGGGAUAUGACUGUGUCACAGUAUGAGUUGAGGUUUUCUGAGUUGGAUCGUCAUGUCAUCUGGAUGGUUCCGACAGAUCGAGAGAGGAUCAGGAGAUUUGUUGAUGGCCUUACUUAUCAUCUCCGUAUUCUUACGACCAGAGAGAGGGUGAUGGGUGCUACUUUCGAGGAGGUGGUUGAUAUCGCUCGUGAGAUUGAGUCGGUUCUCAGUCAGGAGCGAGAGGAGAGGGAGGCCAAGAGGCCUCGAGGAUCUGGCAGCUAUAGUAGUGCUCCUUCGAGGGGUUAGUUUCAGCACAGCAGAAGCCAUUCAUUUAGGCAUGCACGGUCAGCUCGCCCAAGUUAUCAUGGGGCAUCUUCAGGUCAUGGUUAUCAUGGAUCUCAGUAGGGUCAGUAUUGCCCUUCCAGCUUAGAGUGCAUCUCAUGCUCCAUCGGUUCAGGGUUCUUCUUUGUCGAGUGCAUCUACUAGUCACUCCGGUGCAAGGAGUUCCCUUCAGUCCCCUUCUCCAGCACUUGGGAGUUGUUAUGAGUGUGGCGAGAUGGGCCAUAUGUGGAGGCAGUGAGUAUGGGGAGUUUGGCAUAUAUUUCAGUUGGGGAGAUACCUCUUACAGUGGAUGUUCAGGCCUUGGCCAAUUGGUUUGUGAGGUUAGAUGUUUCGGAGCCCAGUCGGGUAUUGGCUUGUGUGGUUUCUCGUUGUUCCUUAUAUAAUCGCAUCAGAGAGCGCUAGUAUGAUGAUCCGCAUUUGCUUGUCCUUAGAGAAAGAGUUCAGCAUGAUGAUGCUAGAGAUGUGACCAUUGGUGAUGAUGGGGUGUUGAGGAUUCAGGGCCGGAUUUGUGUGCCCAAUGUGGACGGGCUUCGGGAGUUGAAUUUGGAGGAGGACCAUAGCUCGCAGUAUUCGAUUCAUCCGGGCGCCGCGAAGAUGUAUUAGGAUUUGAGGCAGCACUGUUGGUGGAGAAGAAUGAAGAAAGAUAUUGUGGGAUUUGUAGCUCGGUGUCUCAAUUGUCAGCAUGUGAAAUAUGAGCAUCAGAGACCGGGUGGCUUGCUUCAGCAGAUGGAUAUUCUUGAGUGGAAGUGGUAGAGGAUCACUAUAGACUUUAUUGUUGGACUCCCACGGACUUUGAAGAAGUUCGAUGCUAUUUGGGUGAUUGUGGAUCGGCUGACCAAGUUCGCGCACUUCAUUCCUGUGUGUAAUACCUAUUCUUCAGAGCGGUUGGCAAGGAUCUAUAUCUGAGAGAUUGUUCAUUUGCAUGAUGUCCCAGUUUUCAUCAUUUCAGAUAGAAGUACUCAAUUUACUUCGCAGUUUUGGAGGGCCGUGUAGAGAGAGUUGGGUACUCAGGUUGAGUUGAGCACAACUUUUCAUCCUUAGACGAACGGGCAGUCCGAGCGUACUAUUUAGAUAUUGGAGGACAUGUUGCGUGCUUGUGUCAUUGAUUUCGGAGGAUCAUGGGAUGAGUUAUAACAACAGCUACCAGUAGAGUAUUCAGAUGGCUCCAUAUGAGGUUCUGUAUGGGAGGCGGUGUAGAUCUCCAGUUGGUUGGUUCGAGCCCGGUNNNNNNNNNNNNNNNNNNNNNNNNNNNNNNNNNNNNNNNNNNNNNNNNNNNNNNNNNNNNNNNNNNNNNNNNNNNNNNNNNNNNNNNNNNNNNNNNNNNNNNNNNNNNNNNNNNNNNNNNNNNNNNNNNNNNNNNNNNNNNNNNNNNNNNNNNNNNNNNNNNNNNNNNNNNNNNNNNNNNNNNNNNNNNNNNNNNNNNNNNNNNNNNNNNNNNNNNNNNNNNNNNNNNNNNNNNNNNNNNNNNNNNNNNNNNNNNNNNNNNNNNNNNNNNNNNNNNNNNNNNNNNNNNNNNNNNNNNNNNNNNNNNNNNNNNNNNNNNNNNNNNNNNNNNNNNNNNNNNNNNNNNNNNNNNNNNNNNNNNNNNNNNNNNNNNNNNNNNNNNNNNNNNNNNNNNNGCUUCGUACAGUGCAGUCGAGGCAAAAGAGUUAUGCUGAUAAGAAGUUUCAAGAUGUGUCUUACAUGGUUGGCGAGAAGGUGUUGUUGAAGGUUUCGCCCAUAAGAGGUGUUAUGAGAUUUGGGAAGAAAGAGAAAUUGAGUCCUCGAUUCAUUGGGCCUUUCGAGGUGCUUCGGAGGAUUGGGGAGGUGGCGUAUGAGCUUGCUUUGCCACCCAACUUGUCUAGUGUGCAUCCAGUAUUUCAUGUUUCUAUGCUCCGGAAGUAUAUUGGGGAUCCAACUCAUGUUCUGGAUUUCAGCACGGUUCAGUUGGAUGAUGAUUUGACCUAUGAUGUGGAGCCAGUAGCUAUUUUGUGUCAUCAGGUUUGGAAGUUGAGAUCAAAGGAUAUAGCUUCAGUGAAGGUGCAGUGGAGAGGUCGGCCCGUAGAGGAGGCUACCUGGAAGACCGAGCGGGAGAUGCAGAGCAGAUAUCCUCACCUGUUUGAGGCUUCAGGUAUGUUUCUUGACUCGUUCGAGGAAGAAUGUUUGUUUAAGUUGGGGAGGAUGUGACUACCCGGCUAGUCAUUUCAUGAGUUACCACUCCGUUUCCCCCAUUUCUGCUUCUUUAUGCUUCGUUAUCCGUGUUUUGUGGUAUCAGGUUGGUCGGAUCGAGUCCGGAAUGAUUUGAUAAGGUUUGAGACACUUAGUCUCUUUUAAGAAGGUUUAAGUUGAAAAAGUCAAUCGGAUGUUGACUUAUGAGUUAGAGGGAUCAGAUGUGAGUUUCGAUGGUUUGGUUAGCUUCGGGAGGUGAUUUAUGACUUAGGAGUGUGAUCCGAAUUGGUUUUGGAGGUGUAGAGAAGAUUUAGGCUUGAAUUGGCGAAGUAAAUAUUUUGCAAUUUCUGGUUGGUAGGCGAGAUUUUUGAUAUAGGGAUCAGAAUGGAAUUCGGAGAGUUGCAGUAGCUUUAUUGUGUCAUUUUGGACAUGUGUGCAAAAUUUCAGGUCAUUCGGACGUGGUUUGGUUGGGUUUUUGAUCAAAAGCGUAUUUCGGAAGAUUUUAGAAACUUAGGCUUGAAUCCGAGGUGUUUUGGUUGAUUUGGUGAUGUUUGAGGUGUUUUGAUGGUUGGAACAAGUUUGAAUAAGGUGUUGGGUCAUGUUGGUGUUUUUGGUUGAGGUCCCGGGGGCCUCGGGAUGAUUUUGGAUGGUUAACGGGGAAAUUGGAGAUUUGUUGCAGUAGCUGAUAAUGUUGUUUCUGGUGUUUUCGCACUUGCCGUUUGGGGACCACAGGUGCGGUGCCGCACACGCGGAAGGGAAGGAACAACUACAGAUUGGAGAAGUGGAGUCAGGAACCGCAGAUGCGGUAUGGGGACCACACCUGCAGAGUCGCAGAUGCGACGUGUGGACCGCAGAUACGGUAUGUGACCGUUAAGUGAGUUCCGCUGAAGCGGAGGUGUUGACCGCAUAUGCGGUACCGCAAAAACGAAUUUUUGGACCGCAGAUGCGGGUAUGCCUGGGCAGAACAUAUAAGUUAUUUUAUUUCAUGAAAUUCGGUUAUUUCACCAUUUUUGGACAUCGGCUAGGGAACUUUUGGACGAUCUGGAAGGGAGAUUUCAAGGGAACUUCGUUAAGGUAAGGAUUUUGGACCUAAAACAUACUUCUAUGGUAAUAUUUCGUGGAGACUAAAAUUUAAGGAAUUUAAGGACUAAAAAUAAAUGAUUAGGGCUAGAGUUUAAGAGGGCUUAAAAUGAGAAUUUGAGGGGUCGUUUGAACUCCGAUUUUUGUAUUCUUGAUAUGAAUGAACUCGUGGGGAGACGAGAAAUCUGUUGAUGUGAAAAUUUCUGAGAUUUGAGAAGUGGGCCCGGGGCUUGGGUUUAGCUAAUUUCGGGAUUUUUGGUAUUUUUCGAUUGUUUUCGCUUGGGCUUUGUUCCCUUAGCAUAUUGUGACGUAUUCGUUCUGAUUUUGGAUAGAUUUGACGCGCGUGGAGGCUCAUUCAAGGGGCAAAGGCAUCACGAGCUAGAGAUUUAGCCGGUUCGAGGUGAGUAAUGAUUGUAAAUGAUGCUCUGAAGGUUUGAAACCCGGGAUUGCACAUCGUAGUGCUAUAUUGAGGUGAGGCACACGCUUGAUGACGAGCGUGGGGUUGUGCACUAUUGGGGAUUGUGACUGGGUCCAUCCCGAUUGAUGNNNNNNNNNNNNNNNNNNNNNNNNNNNNNNNNNNNNNNNNNNNNNNNNNNNNNNNNNNNNNNNNNNNNNNNNNNNNNNNNNNNNNNNNNNNNNNNNNNNNNNNNNNNNNNNNNNNNNNNNNNNNNNNNNNNNNNNNNNNNNNNNNNNNNNNNNNNNNNNNNNNNNNNNNNNNNNNNNNNNNNNNNNNNNNNNNNNNNNNNNNNNNNNNNNNNNNNNNNNNNNNNNNNNNNNNNNNNNNNNNNNNNNNNNNNNNNNNNNNNNNNNNNNNNNNNNNNNNNNNNNNNNNNNNNNNNNNNNNNNNNNNNNNNNNNNNNNNNNNNNNNNNNNNNNNNNNNNNNNNNNNNNNNNNNNNNNNNNNNUGCCAACUAUUUGAACCCUUCGGGAAUUUUUAUUACUAUUUCCUCACUAUUUUGAUUAUUCCAUUUUACUCAGUUUUGAGACUUAAAUGAUAUUUUAAAUGAUGUUUUGGGCUGAGAAAUACUGUUUUACUAAUGCCCGAGGGGCUUAUGAUGAUUUUCGGACUGAGUAAGGCCGAGGGCCUAGUUGUGAGGAUACACUGGUACUGAUAUGAGGCCGAGGGCCUGAGAUACAUAUAUACGCCACGAGGUGGCUUGAUUGAUAUAAGGUCGAUGGCCUAGAUUUGAUGCCACGAGAUGGCUUGAUAUUGCGCUUGGGCCGUAAGGGGCCCCUCCCAGAGUCUGUAUACCCCCAGUGAGCGCGGGUACCCAUUAUGAUGUGAGAUUGACCCCGAGGGGCUAGUAUUGUUCUGGGAUUGAGCCCGAGGGGCUGGUAUUGUUCUGAGAUGUUGCCCGAGGGGCGGAUUUGCUGACACUAUGCCCGAGGGGCGAACUUUUAUUUGUUUACUUUAUCUUAAAUAUCUGUCAAUUACCUGUUUUACUGGUUAAAAGAGGAUUUUACUUGAUCUUUAUUGGUUUUACUGAUUUUAAGUGAUUUACUGCUUCAUUAUAGACUGCCUUGUGUUUUACGUGAUUUCUUACUUUCAGUCGUUAUUUAUAUUUGUUACUCACUGAAUUGGAGUACUUACUUUACUCUCUGCACCCUGUGUGCAGAUUCAGGCGUUGCUGGUUCCGUUCCUGAGUGCUGAUUGCUCCAGUUGCAGGCGGUUUUCUAGAGACUACGAGGUAGCUGUUGGCGUCCGCAGCCCCGUCUCUACUUCUCUAUCAUUUCCGUUUCCUUUCAAACAUUUGUAGUAGUUUAUGACUUUAGUAGACUGGUAUUGUGGUUUAGAGAUGCUCGUGACUUGUAACACCCCGGUUAGAGCUGUGUUGGGUUGG
rnacentral:lncRNA from 1 species